CACCGAGGGAGGAGUGCUAGGAGGCUCACGCGGUGGGGGGGCCCUUCACAGUCUUAACCAAUCAACGUGGACCUGGGAUCACUAAGUCCCGCCUUCUAGGCCUCCUCGUCGCUUUAUUCGCUAACGUCAAAAUUGGUGAGUUGAGGUAAGGCAAGAAGGGAGGUGAAAGGUCAAUUUCCCAGGAGGGCUUGCUUUUCGUCCCUGGGGAAUGCCUGUGGUACGGCGGCGUCUGUGCGUGGGUAGAGAUUUGGUGGUACCGUUUUAGUCUCGGGGGGCAAGGUAGAGUGGUUGUGUGCGAAUCAGUUCAGGAGUUCCUCAGAAAAGAGGACUUAGUCCUCCUAAGUCGUAAAAAGCAGAAAAAGCAUCUGUGCCCAGCCCGCUUCCAGCUCGUAGCGCAGUAUGCUGCACGCAGUGACUUAAUGACUGUGACUCGCUGUAGAGAAGCUGGCUAGGAAACCAAAAUUCAGAUGACCUAACCGGCCCAGGAUCACUUAAUUACACAGCUUGGAAAUGGUCGACUCAACAAAGAAUGUGGUCUUUGAACGGAGGGAACUUCCAUUCCCCAUAAGGAUAUAGUCUCUCUUUCCUCUCCCAUUUCCCCAAGCAAACAGUGACCUAUCUGAUGGCUAAGAAGUAGAGAAUAAGCUCUGAGACCUCCCUCUUCUGAAGUGGCAAGUCCUCCAGACCCACUCUCAGCUCCCCCAUCUCCACAAGGGAGACCUGGAGAUGCCCAGCUAUGCCAGUGACUGGCUUCCUGGGGAGCUGCAGAAAAAUCCAGAUUUUCCAAACCCUUGGAGAUGUGAUGGAACCUGGCUGAUGGACACAUGGCUGCCCUGCCAGCUCUCCUCUGAGGACAUUUGCAUCAUGCG
ensembl:lncRNA